AGAACGAACGCUGGCGGCAUGCCUAAUACAUGCAAGUCGAACGAAGGCUUCGGCCUUAGUGGCGCACGGGUGCGUAACGCGUGGGAAUCUGCCCCUUGGUUCGGAAUAACAGUUGGAAACGACUGCUAAUACCGGAUGAUGACGAAAGUCCAAAGAUUUAUCGCCAAGGGAUGAGCCCGCGUAGGAUUAGCUAGUUGGUGAGGUAAAGGCUCACCAAGGCGACGAUCCUUAGCUGGUCUGGAGAGGAUGAUCAGCCACACGUGGGACUGGAGA
rnacentral:rRNA from 1 species